rnacentral:rRNA from 1 species
ACGGAGGGUGCAAGCGUUAAUCGGAAUUACUGGGUGUAAAGCGCACGUAGGUGGUUUGUUAAGCUAGCUGUGAAAUCCCCGGGCUCAACCUGGGAAUGGCAGUGGAUACUGGAAAGCUGGAGUGCGGUAGAGGGUAGUGGAAUUCCCGGUGUAGCAGUGAAAUGCGUAGAGAUCGGGAGGAACACCAGUGGCGAAGGCGGCUACCUGGACCAGCACUGACACUGAGGCACGAAAGCGUGGGGAGCAAACAGGA